rnacentral:rRNA from 1 species
CUACGGGUUGCUCCAGUCGCGAAACCUUUACAAUGCACGGAAGUGUGAUAAGGCUAUUCGAAGUGCUUAUACACUGUAUAGGCUUUUGCCAAUGGUAAAUACAUUGGCGAAUAAGGGGUGGGUAAGACUGGUGCCAGCCGCCGCGGUAACACCAGCGCCCCAAGUGGGAACCAUUUUUAUUGGGCUUAAAGCGUUCGUAGCCGGUUAUGUACAUCUUUUGUGAAAUCGUUCCCCUCAAUGGAACGGCGCGCAGAAGACACGGCAUGACUAGGAACCGGGAGGGGUCAGGAGUAUGCUAAGGGGAGCGGUAAAAUGCUAUAAUCCUUGGUGGACUACCUUUGGCGAAGGCGCCUGACCAGAACGGGUUCGACGGUGAGGAACGAAAGCUAGGGGAUCAAUCCGGAUUAGAUACCCUCGUAGUC